UACACACCGCCCGUCACACCAUGGAAGUUGGUUGCACCAGAAGUCGGUCGCUUAACCGCAAGGGGUGUAGGCGUCUAAGGUAUGGUCAGUGAUUGGGGUG
rnacentral:rRNA from 1 species